UUUCAAAAAGGAUUUGCAUCGCAAAAUAGGGAAUCCGUCGGAAGCCCUACGAUGGGCUAUUGCCUUGGGUUCGCUAUGGGGUUUUCCCCACGAACCCCGAGGUUUGCUAUGGGGUUCACUCCACGAACCCUGAGGUUUGAUUGGGUUCGCUCUGUGAAUCCCCUUCCGUACGUCGAAAUAGUUUGAUUUUUGUAAUAUUUUAAGAGCUUGUAGGCCAUUUCACCCCACCAAGUCAUUCUCAAUCCCUUGUGUAUGAGUGUAGAUCCUUAAAAAUGCUUUUACACCUCCGUAAAUCCAAAAUCAUCAUUCUAAAAGAAAGAGAGAAGAAAACUACCUUCGGUUUGAGUAUUCAAAGCUCAACGGUAAACUUUGAUUUAAAUUCUCUCCAUUAGUGUUACUGAUACAAGAAUAAUGGCCGCCUUAGCUUUCGAUGACAUCAUUCAAAGUCACUAUGUGAAGAAUCAAGCUUUGAUCACAUGGAUGGUAUGUGAUCAUACUUGGAGGGGAUGCAUUGAGCCUACCAUUGAUCAAACCCGAGUGUGGACGAUUGCUUGGAGCUUUGAAGGCUUAAGGACACUCUGGUUUUGACCACCUUUGUUGGUUCACGGUUUUGGUUCCCUUUAUUAAGGGCAUUUUGGUCACUUAGCCUUAGGGGCAUUUUGGACAAUUCAUAUUAUUUUCCAACACACCAAGGCCAGCCUUGGUCAUUAAGGGUAGUGUAGUCGUUUUUGGCUUCUUUUGUAAUAUACGAUAAGUAGGAUUUUCUUAGGUUUUAUCUCAUUAGUUUAUGAAAGAUGAAAGAUUGAAACAUUAAAAAUCCUCUCUUGAGAGUAGAACACUUAGUCUUAGUUAAGGCUUGGAAAAGCUAGUAUUGCUCUUUGCUUGGAAACGAUGGAUCUUGAGGUGAGUUGAUUCCCUUGGCGGUCGCCGUAAGAGUGCGGUUUCGAUUAUUACAUUCAUUAGGGGUUUUUGAGUUUAAUACACUCUUUAGUUCUUAAUCUUGUAAUAAUCUUGGUCUCACUAUCUAUCCUUUACUUUUGUUGUUGUCAUC